GGGGGGGUGUGGUAUAUUCAUAAACCAUACAUCACCAUACUUCAAAUGCAAAAACUAUUAUCCAUACAACUCACAUAAACUUCAUUAACAUGUGGAGUUAAUUACUUUAUUUAUAAAUAUAUUACAAAAAAGAAAAAGAAAAAAAAAAACUGUUCAAUAUCUCAACCUAGCCUCUGCUGAAGAUGAACUUUUAGGGCCUACCAUUGAAUUGUCCAAGCUGGCUAUGCUCUUCCCUGCUUAGCGAUUACUUGGAAGAUAAGUGAGAUUGGGAGCAUUUCAUCUAAGCAAGCAUCAUACAAAAAUAACAUGUCAUAUGCACUCUGCUCUCAUAUAUACUUGAAUCUGUCCUAACCAUCCAAUUACCACCACAUCAUUGAUCAAGUAUAUAUUGAAGAACAUAGCCUCAGGUGGACAACCAUGAAGAGCCAAUCAUCAAACAUCAAAUAGAAGAGAAGAUAACCUCAUCCUCAACAAAGACACUGCAAAUUACCUCUAAUCUCGGCUUAAACCAAACCCCUAUAAACAGGGAGAGAACUCACCAAGUUUAGUCUAAAGCCUUACAACUCUAGAACUCAUGCUUACCCAACUUGGAACAUCUUACACACUUUUAGCCUACCCAAGUAUUAGGUUGUCAGUGAAAAUAACCUAAGUUAAUGGUAUGGCAUUUGGAACCAAGAAUGAUAGUGUUUAUAUGGAUAAUGUGUCUAUUUAUUAUAUAUUUUCCCUAGAUCAAACCAAAGGCUGCAGCUAUGUCUCGUUGCAAAUGCAGUGUUAACUGAAUCUCCAACAAUCCAAUUACAUACUAUAAAAGAGUUUCCUUGAUCUGUAAAUGCCUGGAGUUUAAUUAUGCUUACAAUGAUGUCACUGGGAGGGAGCUGGUAGUGACUGUUGAGGUCAGUCUUUUUAUUCUUUUUCUAUGGUUACCCUUUUCCAAAAUCUGCCCAGGCCCAAAUGAGGACAUAGCGAGACGAGAAAUCUGAGAUCAUUGAUGUGCAUAAGAUUUUAUUGGUGUCCCAUUAAAAGAGAAAAAAAGGGCCAAUCAAAAGCUGGACCAAGUUAUUCUUUCUGGAACUGAAAGUGAUCUUUUUCUGGUUAGAUUUAGUUAACCCAGUCAAUAUUUGUUUUUCAUAACUGGUGAAUGUUAUGUAGCUUUUCUGGUAAUGCAGUUUGAUCUAAUAGAUAAAGUCAUGCAAUAAUAUCAUAAAACUCGGGUAUCCUUGGGCAUUAGCAUCACUUAUGGUGUCCCUGGAAUUGAUAUUGAUGAAUUCUUUCGCCAGUAGAUUUAUUAACUCCUACUUAUUAGUUUAGUUCUUUAUGUUGUUGUUGUUGUUGUUGUUUUGGUGGGUUCAGAUUAUCUGCAAGGGAUUUUACC
rnacentral:misc_RNA from 1 species